rnacentral:lncRNA from 1 species
CAAAUCCUAGGUCAACUCUAAUUGAAACCUUAAUUGAAUUUAACAAAAUCUUAUGUCAAAUCUUAAUGAAAUACUAAUAAAAUUUUAAACCCUAGACAAGUUCUAAAUUAAAUCCAAAAAAAAAUUCAAUCCUAACCAAAUCCUAGACCAAAUCCUAAACUCUAAUCAAACCAUAAAUAAAUCUUAAAUCAAAUCCUAUAGCAAAUUGAAACGUCAACGACUAAUGAUCAAAUUGUUGAUAUUAACUCAAAAUUUUUAUACUUCUUAAUAGUUUAGUUAGGAAUAAGUACAAGAAAAAUGAAAUAAAUUACACUUACUAAUUAAGAGAAAAAUAAGAUAAACUAAUCAGGCAUUAGGCGGUCUCCUAC